rnacentral:lncRNA from 1 species
CAAAUCAUGAUGAGAUUUAACUUUUGUUCAAAUAAGGUCAGGAUAUCUUUAAAAACAACGAGGGGGGGGGGGGGGGCAUGUUGAAAAAAAUCAAUAAAAGGGAGAUAACUUCUAAAGGGGAUGAUGAAAUCCUACACAGCCUCAUCUGGUAAUACCUCAUGAUAAGAUCUAUCGAUGGUCCAUAUUUGGUCUUGAUGACAUCAAUAGAAACGGGGGGAGGGCAUUUAAAAAAAUGUUGGAAAAAAAAACAUUAGAAAAACAGUAAGGUCUUUCCCCACGUAGGGGAAAGACCUUAAAUAAA